ACGCCUUACGGGGGAGAGCAGGGAAUCUUCGGACCUUGCGUUAAUGGAGCGGCUGAUAUCUGAUUAGCUAGUUGGUGAGGUAAAGGCUCACCAAGGCGACGAUCAGUAGCUGGUCUGAGAGGACGACCAGCCACACUGGAACUGAGACACGGUCCAGACUCCUACGGGAGGCAGCAGUGGGGAAUUUUGGACAAUGGGCGCAAGCCUGAUCCAGCCAUUCCGCGUGAGUGAAGAAGGCCUUCGGGUUGUAAAGCUCUUUCGCAAGGGAAGAAAACUUACUUUUUAAUAAAGAGUGAGGUUGACGGUACCUUGAUAAGAAGCACCGGCUAACUACGUGCCAGCAGCCGCGGUAAUACGUAGGGUGCGAGCGUUAAUCGGAAUUACUGGGCGUAAAGCGUGCGCAGGCGGUUUUGUAAGUCAGAUGUGAAAUCCCCGAGCUCAACUUGGGAACUGCGUUUGAAACUACAAGACUAGAAUAUGUCAGAGGGGGGUAGAAUUCCACGUGUAGCAGUGAAAUGCGUAGAGAUGUGGAGGAAUACCAAUGGCGAAGGCAGCCCCCUGGGAUAAUAUUGACGCUCAUGCACGAAAGCGUGGGGAGCAAACAGGAUUAGAUACCCUGGUAGUCCACGCCCUAAACGAUGUCUACUAGUUGUUGGUGGAGUAAAAUCCAUGAGUAACGCAGCUAACGCGUGAAGUAGACCGCCUGGGGAGUACGGUCGCAAGAUAAAACUCAAAUGAUUGACGGGGCCCGCACAGGCGGUG
rnacentral:rRNA from 1 species